rnacentral:rRNA from 1 species
UACGGAGGAUCCGAGCGUUAUCCGGAUUUAUUGGGUCUAAAGGGUGCGUAGGCGGCCUAUUAAGUCAGGGGUGAAAGACGGUAGCUUAACUAUCGCAGUGCCUUUGAUACUGAUAGGCUUGAAUGUACUUGAGGUAGGCGGAAUGUGACAAGUAGCGGUGAAAUGCAUAGAUAUGUCACAGAACACCAAUUGCGAAGGCAGCUUACUAAAGUAUGAUUGACGCUGAGGCACGAAAGCGUGGGGAUCAAACAGG